AUGUUCACAGUUCUAUAUCUUUAAGAGUAUCAUUUCUUUUUGAAAAUAACGUCGUCUGUCCUCAUUCAUCAUUUAACAAAAUUCUUCGUUUUCCCUAAUUUUAGACAGUGAACUAAAGAACUUUUGUUAUUUUAAAGCUCCUCUAGACAUGUAGGAGCCUUUUGUUAUUCUAUACGCUACCAAUUCAGCCUAUAUUAUUCUUCUUAAAUUUGUCAUCCAGUUGCCAUCAAAAGGCUAAACAAUUUAAAAUUCUGUCGUCUGUCCAGUUUUGUGUUUCUGAAAUGGGAAUUCUUUCUUAAUUUGCCAUGAAAAUGAUAGAUGCCUGAAACUUCAUUUUUGAUAGUGAGUGAUUCUGUUGCAGUUUAAAAGCAUGCUAAAUGCUUUGUGAUUGAAAUAAUGCGUUUUAAUUCUAAAGAAAUAUUAGCUGUGGCCUCACAGCCAUCUUAUAAAUUUGACAAGGAAGGAAUAUUAUUUAUUAGAGAAAAGCAUGAUAGCUUAUUCAGGAGAAAUGAUGUUUAUUCUCAGCGCUGGUGUCGAUUACGAGGAAAUCUGUUGUUUUAUUAUAAGACAAAAGAUCAGGUAAAUUUC